rnacentral:rRNA from 1 species
GGGAGUGCGGCGUGCUAAUACAUGCAAGUCGAGCGAAUGGAUUAAGAGCUUGCUCUUAUGAAGUUAGCGGCGGACGGGUGAGUAACACGUGGGUAACCUGCCCAUAAGACUGGGAUAACUCCGGGAAACCGGGGCUAAUACCGGAUAACAUUUUGCGCCGCAUGGCGCGAAAUUGAAAGGCGGCUUCGGCUGUCACUUAUGGAUGGACCCGCGUCGCAUUAGCUAGUUGGUGAGGUAACGGCUCACCAAGGCAACGAUGCGUAGCCGACCUGAGAGGGUGAUCGGCCACACUGGGACUGAGACACGGCCCAGACUCCUACGGGAGGCAGCAGUAGGGAAUCUUCCGCAAUGGACGAAAGUCUGACGGAGCAACGCCGCGUGAGUGAUGAAGGCUUUCGGGUCGUAAAACUCUGUUGUUAGGGAAGAACAAGUGCUAGUUGAAUAAGCUGGCACCUUGACGGUACCUAACCAGAAAGCCACGGCUAACUACGUGCCAGCAGCCGCGGUAAUACGUAGGUGGCAAGCGUUAUCCGGAAUUAUUGGGCGUAAAGCGCGCGCAGGUGGUUUCUUAAGUCUGAUGUGAAAGCCCACGGCUCAACCGUGGAGGGUCAUUGGAAACUGGGAGACUUGAGUGCAGAAGAGGAAAGUGGAAUUCCAUGUGUAGCGGUGAAAUGCGUAGAGAUAUGGAGGAACACCAGUGGCGAAGGCGACUUUCUGGUCUGUAACUGACACUGAGGCGCGAAAGCGUGGGGAGCAAACAGGAUUAGAUACC